GAGAUUUUGUCUGUUAUUGCACUUCAUGGUAAUUUAGGAGUUACAAGUUGGUUUUUGCAUUGCUCAGAGAACUUGCUUCUUCCCUCUUCUUCUAGAUUAAUUGUGUAGCUCAUUUUGAUGGAUGCCUGAACUACAGCUCUGUUGGAGGCUGGCAUAAUGAGUAGGAUAGGUAGUUCGAUUGAAAAGGUCUUGUUUGUGAUUUUAUCUUUUAUGGUACAUUUGGAAUGGCUGUCUCGCUAGGGAUUAGUGAUUAAAACACCAUUAAAUGGAGCUCAGAAAUAAAAUUUUGUGAGAACUUUUUUCUUCACUUGGAGGCUCUUCUGUCGUCAGUGGGUCAACCUAUUUUUGCUUUGG
rnacentral:misc_RNA from 1 species